GGAGAGGUACCGAAGCGGUCAUAACGGGGCGGUCUUGAAAACCGUUAGGGUGUGAGCCCACGUGGGUUCGAAUCCCACCCUCUCCGCCA
rnacentral:tRNA from 3 species